GAUUAUGCAGUUUAAAGGUGUGAUGUUUUAAAGAAGGGAGGAAAUAUGAGCAGUCUAUUCUUGAGACCUGGCUAGAAGGAAAACUGUCAGGCAAAAUCAAGUUUUGAUUAAGGCAUUAACUGAAAUGGAGGCAGCGUUCAAGUUUAACGUGUGCUUGUCAAAAUGAGAAGAUGAUAGGAAUCAGAGAAAGAUGCUGACGAAUACCUUUAUCCAGCACACCCAGUGGGGGUCCUGAGAGUCCCCUCCCCCGGACAGCUGAAGAUUUCAUAAGAGCACAUCUUGGUGGAAACAAAUUACAUUAAGAAGCUAGUGACAUGCCAUACCAUAUUGGAGCCAAAGGCAAAAGGAAAAUACAUAAGAUUUGACUGGGAGGCUCCAAUUUUUACCUGGCCAACUGUACUGAAGAUCAAGAAAGAGAUUUUAACUUGUCACCCGCACCUGGCCUUUUCUCCUAAUCCUCAUUCUGGAUUCCAGUGCUGGGACUCCACACCCACCUCAGGGCUGUGCUGUAGCUGUGGCACUAUCCCCGUUUGAACCUUUUAUCUCAGAUGUGACUUUCUCCUGCCCCCACUGCAUGAUCAGUGUGAGACUUCUUGCCUCCUCACGUGGAAGCAGAGUGGGAAUACUGUCUAACUCUUAAUUCAAAUAUAAAGUGUAACAGCCACAUGUGCCAUAAUAAAAUCUGUCCAAAUAUUAGCCGGAA